AACUGGUUGUGUCCAUGUCUGCAACUCCAGAGAAACACAGCCGACGGAGACCAGAGAGCACAAGGUAAAGCAAGCGCCACCGCCGGAGGCCCAAACCUUCGUUUCACAACCUGUGCCGCGACCAAUUUCCGCAUUGAAACUAUCAGAAAGGACACGAUGGUGAGGAAGUCACUGAGACGCAGGAUUUCACCAGUGUUUAUUGGCAAGGUUCCAAUUAUGCUUCGGUCGAGUUAUUGUACAUUGUAUCAGAAUUCGGAGAAGGACUUGACGGAGCUGGGGGAGUGUUCGUAUGACCAAGGAGGGUAUUUCAUUAUCAAUGGGAGUGAGAAGGUGUUGAUUUCUCAGGAGAAGAUGAGCACAAACCACGUUGAUGUC